GUGGGCAAGCAAGCAAAGCCCUGGGGGAAACCCUGGAUAUGACAUGUAGAUAAAUAUGUAGAUAUACCAACUUGUUUAUAUUCAGGACAAGUUACAUAGAUUUUUUUGCUUCCGUUAGUUGACAAAUGAGAAAAGCCCCUUGAGAAAAUAAUCGUGAAUUAAAUCGCAAUUAUUUUCCUAAAUCGUUCAGCCCUGACGGAUACUCUAAAAGUUGUAAAUUGUCAUUAAACUAAAGAACCGGUUCCUUUUUAGCUAAACGUUGGGAAUGUAAGCAGCGUUCAUUUUAGAGCUGAAACAACUAAUCGAUUUAAUCGAUUAUAAUCGAUUAUUAAAAUAGUUAACAACUUUUUUAGUCAUCGAUUAGUUGUUUAAUAAUCAUAUUUUACCGCAUAAAGUCUAUUUUUUACCACAAUCUGACAUUGGUUACAAGCUGUUAAAUUUGCCGCCAUUGUGUGGCAGUAAUGAGCCACUGAUCUACCAGUGGAGCCGUAGAAGAAGAAAUGAGCCAAUGAGUGCCCUCGGUUUUCAUGACGUAUCACGUUACUGACGCUCAUCUUGCUGUGAGAGAUGGCGGAACAAGAAGAAAUACGGAAGAAAAAUAGAAGCGACAAAACAAGAGAAACCCCGGACAAAAACCUCACGAGUAUGGGAGCACUUCACUCUAGAUGCCUUGAAAAGACGGGUGACCUGCAAAAUAUGAAAAAAACAUCAUGGCACGGAAGCACGACGUCCCUAAGUGAACAUUUGAGAUGAAAGCAUGUGGGGGCUGAUGCAGCAGAGGAAGAGCACCGCGGUCAAGUGAGCCGUCAUUUGGAAGAGCCAGCCCGAAAAAAAACAAGCAACGAUGGACAACUACAUGGGGAACAAGACACUCACCCCCCAGCAAUUCAUACCACUUACAAACUCUAUUCUAAACAUGCUGGUAAAAGACAUGAGGCCACUAUCCAUGGUGGAAGGAGCAGGCUUCCAGCUAAUGCUAAAAAAUUAUUCUGGACUGAUAUUUUGCACUGUUUAGCUAAUUUUAUACUGCUGACUGUGUUCAUGUGCAAUAAAAUAGAUUGCAGUCAACU